GGUUUAUUUUAUGGCUAUAUAAAUCUUAGAAGGUUGCUUUAAACAUUAGCUUGGCAUAUUUGAAGAUUGAGAACUAAAUAAAACUUGAGAGUAUCAUUUUCUUUCUAUGUGUUCUACAUCACACUGUAUAUGAAAUCCCAGCCUUUAUUUCCAGAAGAUCAUAAGAAUUUUUCAAUAUAGAGAGGAUUUUAGAAAUUAAUACAAGACAAGAGCAAGAGUUACAACACACGCUUUAGAAGACAGACAAUAUCAAAAUGCCUAUAACUUAGACAUCACUGAAUCUGAAAGAGCACUUAAGAGGAACAUUUUAUCUAGUAUAAAAUGUGACAUAAUUGGUCACCACCACACAUUUACUUAUUUGGCCAAAAGCCUUUAGCCUUAUGAUAAAAAAAAUCACAUUAACUACUAAGAAUUUGGAGUUAGAAAAAGCUUUGUGAAGAAAGUGAAGUGAGAGCAAAAUCUAUUGUUAAGGUUUUGGUGGCUGGCUGAGAAAAGGGAAACACAAUAAUACAAUUAAGAGAGGAGGGCGAGGAAGGAGGCGCCCCCAGGAGGAGGAGGAGGAAAAAGGAAAGAAGGGGGGCGGGGCGCACGGGGGCAUUGUCUUGUGUUGAAUGGAGGCAGGGCGGGCUGGGCAGGAGUAGUAGCCAUCACUAAUUGAAACAGUUGGUAAGGUUGUGAGUUAGGAGAUAUUAUAUAUUACAUCUAUGAUUCCAUGAAGGAUAUCAUAUAUGAAAUGGCAAAUUAAUAGAAAAUGAACAUGCAUUUAUGGGUAGGUUUUAGAAAAUUAUAACUACCAAACAGUUUUUCUGAAAAAAAAUCAGUAACUAUAAUUAUCUACAUGCCAACUUGUUAUUGGUUUGUUAUUCCAUAUCAGAUGCCUAA
rnacentral:misc_RNA from 1 species